AAAAAUUCAAGGUUAUAAGGGCCUUUUAAUUCGAAACGUUAGUUGUAGCGUUGUGGCUGACUUCACAAUGUCAAAGUUUGACAUCUAACCACCGAACACUAACAAUCUAACCUAAGUUUGCCUCAAUAAAUGGAAGAAGGGGGCUUGCACGCCACCUGAAAUACAGUUUAACAAUUGAUCCCAUUAUUAAACUGUUUUCGGUUUAAUAAUGAGGCCAUUGUUAACGCAAAGUAGAAAUAUGCAAUUUCUCAACACAGACAAAAUGAUGAAUGUCCGGGCGCAACCAAAAAAAAGAAGAAAUCGAGUUAGAAAUUGCGGGAGAUACGCAGAAAUUGGAUGAAUUGUUUCAGACUGAUAAUAAUGUUUAUUUGUCAGAAAGAGAAGACGUAAAAAACAUGUAUGCAAUUUUGAAGAAAUUAUUAAUAAUGAACCAAAUUGCUUUCAAGUUUUCAGGGCAAGGAAAAAAAUAAGCUCUCUUUUAGUGAACUCACAAUUAACAAGGCUACAAUAUGUCAAGUUAUGUGAUUUCUUAAAAAUUACGAACUUUGUAAGUUAAUUUAUAGUGAACCAAGAGUUAUAAGGUUAUAUGGCCAUCAUAAAAUCAUCCCAUUGUGUCGAAAUUAAGUUGUUUACAAUAGAAACGGUUUUAGGGUCGUAAAUAACGUGUCCACUGCAGCUCGACCGGCUCUUGUGUUUCGUUCAGGGGCGGCUUUCACUAAAUAUGAAAAUCCACCACUCCACUAUUUCUUUACUACCUGCAGCCGCUGAGGGUUCCGAAAUAACCACUCGCUUUGAAAGCCGGCCCUGUUAAAUAUAAGCAAGAAAUGUUUAGAAGAUGAUUUAUUGCCAACCGGUAAGCUUAGUGCGAACCACACAAAGGGGGUAUUUAUUUGCGGUCAACUACUUUUAUGAUGGCCAUAUAACCUUAUAGCUCUUGGUUCACUAUAAUUGUAGGUACCACACGGAAACGUCCCAAAAAAUCCACAACUACUGAAAUUUAAAAAAUGGUAGGACCUCAUUAAGCGCAGACAAAAGCAAGAAUGAAUUCUCAUCGAAAAAAACAUGAGGUAUGAUUUUUUUUAUUUUAAUUAAUUAUAUCGCUUUUCAAUGAAUUGGUUAUAGAGCAAAUAAUUAUUAAAUAAAUAUUUCUGUAUAACGAUUGAAAUGUAGCAGAACAUUGUUAAUUUUAUGUUUAAAAAAUUUAUAUUGUGUUUCACAUCAGGUGAUUUUUUAAAUGUAUGCUCUGGUUGCCCAUGAAGUUUCUGACAUAAGUGUCAUGGGUAACUACAGCAGAAAUAAAAAAAAAUCACCUGGUACGUAAAAAUUUUCAACGAAUUGGUUCUAGGACAAAUAAUUUUUAA